rnacentral:lncRNA from 1 species
GUCCAGCAUAAUAUUAGCUUCUUUUCUUACAUAUAUUUAAUUCCGAAUCUAAUGCUGCAUAAUCAAUUCUACAUUGAUACAUUAUUCUAGAAUCCUAUGUGAAAGACAAACACAACCACAUAAGAUACAACCUCUAAGGGUAAAAAAGUAUGAAAUAUUAGAAAAAGUUUGCUACAUAUUCCUAAUAAAAACUGUGUUGGCAUUCAAAGUAAAUUUGAAUAAAAUUAAAAUACUUGGUGUGACUUGAUAUCUAUGGACCUAGGCAGUCUGUAGGGUUUCAAUAUAGGAUAUCUUAAAUCAACUUCAAGAUAUAACUUAGUGGAAGUUACCAACAGUUUACCAAAACAUUAAUCUUGAAACUAUCAUUAAAGAAAAUCAGUUUCAAAAACACAGUAUGUAGGUCACAAUGAAAAGUACAAAAUAUGUAGGUCAGUGUGUAAAUUCUUGAAAGAAGAAAGACUUCUUACACUUUCAUAUAUCAACAAAUUACUCACAGGAUAAUAGUGUGAUCGCAAAUCACUCAGCAGAUAUCAAUAAAAGUGAACUGUGCAUCCAAUUUUGUUUACAAGGUAAAUAAUUAUAUCACAAAAAGCAUGAUAUGAAUUUAACACUAAAUAGGGAAGCAAGGGAAAACAAGAUUUAACAGUGUAAACUAUGAUGAAAGGUGUUAUGAUAACAUGAUGUAAAAACAAGGCAGUUUUUCUUUAAAUGCACAAAUUUCAGGAUAAAAAGCAAACUUCCAAGCAGAGACUUAAAAAUAUCAUAAUAGAUAUCCAAGGAAUAAUGUCUUGUGAAGAUGUGAAUAAAAUUAGUUGAUGUCAUUUCACCAUUUUAGAAUUAAAGUGAUAUAUCAAUUGUAUUUCUCUGGUCAUGGAUUGUGAAUUUCAUUCCUUGGCACUGGAAAACUUCUUGCGUGAAUUACAUCAUCUUAUAUUUAAGAAGUGAUGAUUCUCUGGAAAAUUGCAACUUUGCAUUUAAAAGGAAGAAUUAUGUAAAAUUAGGCUUUUAAAGAAUACCUUGGAUAUUGUUCUUUUAAUAAAGAAUGACAA